rnacentral:rRNA from 1 species
UCAAGCUACGAAGGGCAUAAGGUGGAUGCCUUGGCACUAGGCGCCGAAGAAGGACGUGACAAGCUGCGAAAAGCUACGGGGAGUUGCAAAUGAACCUUGAUCCGUAGAUAUCCGAAUGAGGGAACUCACUUAACAUAAGUUAAGUAAUAUUAACUGAAUAAAUAGGUUAAUAUGGGGAACCCGGGGAACUGAAACAUCUAAGUACCCGGAGGAAAAGAAAGAAAACAAUCUAAUUUCCUGAGUAGUGGCGAGCGAAAGGGAAGGAAGCCUAAACCUAGCAUAGCGAUAUGCGAUGGGGUUUCGGACCUGCACAAACACAGCAUUGAGUGUAGCUGAAUUAGCUGGAAAGCUAGACCAAAGAGAGUGAAAGUCUUGUAAGUGAAACACAAAAAAUGCGUGGCAGGAAUCCAGAGUACGGCAGGGCACGUGGAACCCGGUCGGAAGAAGGGAGGACCAUCUCCCAAGGCUAAAUACGACCUAGUGACCGAUAGAGUAUAGUACCGUGAGGGAAAGGUGAAAAGAACCCCGGGAGGGGAGUGAAAGAGAACCUGAAACCUUAUGCUUACAAGCAGAUAUAGCACGACUAAACGUGUGGUAUCGUACUUUUUGUAGAACGGGCCGGCGAGUUACGUUAUGUAGCGAGGUUAAGUAAUUAAGUUACGGAGCCGAAGCGAAAGCGAGUCUUAAUAGGGCGAGAUAGUUGCAUGACGUAGACCCGAAACCAGACGACCUAACCAUGAGCAGGUUGAAGCAGUGGUAAGACACUGUGGAGGACCGAACCCACGCCUGUUGAAAAAGUCGGGGAUGACUUGUGGUUAGCGGAGAAAUUCCAAUCGAGUCUGGAGAUAGCUGGUUCUCCUCGAAAUAGCUUUAGGGCUAGCCUCUAUUUGAGAUUACUGACGGUAGAGCACUGAAUGGGCUAGGGGGCUUCACAGCUUACUGAACCUUAUCAAACUUCGAAUGUCAGAUAAUUAUAAUAGGGAGUCAGACAGUGGCAGAUAAGUGUCAUUGUCAAAAGGGAAACAGCCCAGAUCUACAACUAAGGUCCCAAAGUACAAGUUAAGUGGUAAAGGAUGUGUCACCACUAAGACAACCAGGAUGUUGGCUUAGAAGCAGCCACUCAUUCAAAGAGUGCGUAAUAGCUCACUGGUCGAGUGGUGGUGCGCCGAAAAUUACCGGGGCUAAAACUUGUCACCGAAGUUUAGGCAUAUAUGUAAAUAUAUGGGUAGAGGAGCAAUGUAUACAGGCUGAAGCAGUAUCGGAAGGGGCUGUGGACAGUAUACAAGAGAGAAUGCCGGCAUAAGUAGCGAGAGCAUAGUGAGAAUCUAUGCCGUCGAAAGUCUCAGGUUUCCUGGGGAAGGUUCGUCCUCCCAGGGUAAGUCGGGACCUAAGCCGAGGGCGAAAGCCGUAGGUGAUGGACAACAGGUAGAUAUUCCUGUACCACCAAUAAACGAUUAAAUGAAGCAAUGACACAGAAGGAUAGUCAAGGCGCGAUGAUGGAUAGUCGCGUACAAAUCAUGAGGCUGGCAAGUAGUGAAGUACGCUUGCUAAGGCUAGGUGAUGACGUGGAGUGAAAACUAGUAACGAAGUUGAUGAAUUCACGCUGGCGAGAAAAGUUGCUAAAUAAGUUUAAAGGUGCCCGUACCGCAAACCGACACAGGUAGACGAGGAGAAAAUCCUAAGACGAGCGGGAUAACCAUUGUUAAGGAACUCUGCAAAAUUGCCUCGUAACUUCGGGAGAAGAGGCGCCAACGAGAGUUGGUCACAGAAAAGAGGCCCAAGCAACUGUUUACCAAAAACACAGGUCUCUGCGAAAUCGAAAGAUGACGUAUAGGGGCUGACGCCUGCCCAGUGCUGGAAGGUCAAGGGGAAAUGUUAGCGCAAGCGAAGCAUAGAACUUAAGCCCCAGUGAACGGCGGCCGUAACUAUAACGGUCCUAAGGUAGCGAAAUUCCUUGUCAGGUAAG